rnacentral:lncRNA from 1 species
CCCUUCACUGCCACUAUUAGAAUUUUCCUCUUCCUUGAUUGCCAUUCCCGUUAGGUUCUGUCAAAUAACUUCCCACAAACAAAAUGGGUCCAAAACUAAAGAGUAGAUUCCGUCUGUUUGCAAUACCUGUAAUGCCCAUCUUCCAAUGACAACGUGGCCCCACAACCAGAUCUUUCCCUAUCUUCUUACCCAAGCGAGCACGGGUUCUCUUCCCCAAGACCCCCAAACCCUAUCUCCCCAAAUCGAUUUGUUGGAUUGAAUCGCCGGUAGUAGGGCCAGCUUGCCGCUGAGGAGCAGAGGCGCGCAGAUCGGCCGGAAGGAGCGUCGAGCGGGCCUGGACGGGCGGGGCC